CACAAUGUAUCUAUCUGUGUAAUUACUAUCUCUAUCUUUUCGUCAUUUUCAUUCAUUCUCCAUUCUCAAACAAAAAAGAAACCCUAGAAAAUCGUCUUUUCGUGCUCUUCUCUUCCGUCCAUAGAUUUGCAGAUUAACGUGGUAUCAAAGGCAAAUUUGUUUGUGAUUUUCGUUUGAUUUCUCCAUUUCAUUCUAUUUUUUGCAUUUCAGAUAGUUUUUGCAACCUAUUGUUUGUAAUUUGUGUUUUUUGUUCGUUACUCUGUCUCUAGUCGGUUCUUUUUAAUUUCUUCAGGUUUCGUGUUGUGAAGUUUAUGGGUGUGGUUAAAAGAUCAAUGAGGGGCCUUGGCCAUAUUCUAUACUACACUGAGGGGUCUUGAACCGAAGAUGAAGGAAUUUCGACCGUGUACAUAUAGUUUACUGAGGGGCCUUGGCCGUAUUCUAUACUACACUGAGGGGUCUUGGACUGAAGAUGAAGGGGUCUCGACCGUGUACACAUAGUUCACUGAGGGGCCUUAGCCGUGUUCUAGAAUUGAUUAUCAGAGGUCUUGAGACCCGCUUUCGUUCACGGAGGGGCCAAAGGCCCAUGGCGAAAGGUCUUAGCCCGAGAAGCGGAUUACAGAUUUUAGUCAGAUGGUACAUUUUUGGUGGAUUUUCCUAUACAUUUGAUGUGAUGAGAUUAUAGCAUGAUUAUCGCUUAUGUUUAUAUCAUAACUUGGGAUGAUAUUUUACCAUGUUAUGUGGAUGUCUCACAUUUUGGUUAUAA